UCUGAGCCAGCCAGGGCAGGAGCACAGUAAUUUGCUCCCCCCCACCCCUGAGCAGGGGGACUGUAACUCAGAGAGGUGUCUGUGAGUCACACCUCCUCCCAGAGCUGCUCCUGGGGUGGCGCCACUUAUGCAUCACUCCCUGCACAGGGCAGUGCCUAAAGGAACAAUCUAGCCCCUUAUUAUUUGUUCUGCGGUAGCACCGGAGGCCCCAGUCAGAGAGCAGGUGCUGUACAGGCAGGUAACAAAGAGAGUCUCUGCCCCAGAGAGCUCACAAUCAAAGAGGCAUUAUGCAGUCGCUGGCAAGGGCAUCAGGAUUCUGUGGGACCUAUCUGGCUUGUUCUGUUCUGUGUAGGUUCUUACACCGCACCCAUCACGGUAGUCUCUUGAGCGCCUUCCAGCAGUGCGUUAAGCGAAACGACUAAUAUCUGUCACGCGUGUUCUCCCAUCCCAAUCCAGGGUGAGAGCUUGCAGACGAUCAGCUGAUAAAGGACAGGCACAAACCUCCGAGAAAUCCCUGGAUGCUCCAGAUCCUUUCCUCAGAACAGAGCUUGAGAAUUCCUGGAGUGUCGAAGGUGGGCUUGAGUUCCCCUACCAGUCCUUGAGAGGGUGGCAUGAAGUCCCUAGACAUGAGGAUGGUUUAAAGUCCUGAACGAAGUGUGUAUGGACCAUGGUGCUAAGGACCAGGUUUUGUAACAACGAUAGAAGCCAUGACGACCCAAGAAUAAGCGCUGCGACGUCUACUAGCAACACGGCUUCUUAUACAGCAGCUUCUCGUCUGCCCCAACCCAGAAUAUACCCAGCUUAGAGCCGUGAUCUGCCCAGCACGUACAUGGACACUUUUCCUGAUUGAUUUUGACAGCAGAACUGGGCAUCACUAUGCUAAUUAAACAUCUGGGAUUAUUAAGUGAAAAUUAAUCUUCAUGGCAGGAGCCUGCAUUGGUUGAAUGUAACCCCCAUGAGAAUUUGAAGUCCUACUGCACUCUCUGCAGAUGAGAGCCCUUUCUCUGAAGGUAACUAAUUGACCUGACAGUCAGGCAAGAGGGGUUGAAACUACUAACCGAUUAAGCACCCACUUCUUCACCCUUAGAGGGAAAGAAAAUUAAAAAGGGUGAGUUUUUAAGAUUACUCUAGUACUGAAAACACAUGCACCCCUGCCUUGCACUAUGAAAUCACAGCAAGGUGCACAUUUUUCUAUAGGCACCACCACCCACGCCCCCAUUAAAGCAACCUUAUAGUUAAUUUUCUGUAACAAUGAUGUGGGGGUAAAUACACUUCUUCCAACGGUUUACUCCCUGUGCCAGGUGCAUGAGCAGCACAAGGCUCCUAGGGCCGCGGGGGGCAGGAUCUCAGAGCCAUGCACACCCCCCGAUGCAGGACUCUCGGUUUCUAGGCGCA